rnacentral:lncRNA from 1 species
CUACAGUACAGAGGUGACAAAGAGUAACUUGAUAUUCUUUACUCAGAACAAUAACUGACAGCUUCAGUUGUCUUUUGUGUAUGAAACAUUCAAAUGGGAAGAUGUUGGAUUGUCCCAAAGAUUCAGGAAAAGAGGGAAAAAGAGAAAGAAGAGCAACCAUGUGAGAAACUGGGGGACACAGAAAGGAGGAGCAAUGAAGCCCAGGCAUGCACAGGUGAUGACUGCUGGACCGCCAUGGCCAAUAGUGAAUUGCAGAGCUCCAGUGACUGCAAGAUGCAUCAGAGUUCAGAUGUUUCCAGUGUGAGACUAUGGACUCCUUGAAAUGGAUGAACUACCCCACCUGUGUGUGUGUGUGUGUGUGUGUGUGUGUGUGAAUACUGUGGCUGGCAAGCAUGAAGCCCUCUGUAAGUGAGCUAUGAUUGCUCUGAUUAUUGUUAUAAUCUGGGGGACACUUGAGGAUGUUUUUGUGUUGUCUACAACUGGCUUGCUUUUUUUAGGUAAGGCAUUUAAUAUGUAUUUUAAAGACUACUUUUCCUGGGAAAUUUUGGGAACCAAUGAUACUGUUGAUACCUUUUUUCCCCCCAUAAUGACUACCCUUUUGGUCAAGUUAUUCCUCAUAUAUUCAUUUUGUGUAGACUGCUAGCACCUCUAUGUUCUUCCAGUUGGGGUUUAAAACAUUCCUGUCUUAAUACAUGGCGAAAUUCGGUUCAUGAGAAACAGAACUCAGGAAUACUGCACUCCAAAGUGCUUUGAUUUUAGACUGAUUCUAAGACAAUAGCUACAGUACUCUCCUUUUUGUUCUUUCCAACUUUUCAUGUUCCUAUUUUCAGAUUAGGAGUCAUACCUAGUCAUGUUCUCCCUAAAUUCACUCCCUCUCCCUUCUGUUCCCACCUUAGAAAUGUCACAAAGCUUGAAAGGAUGAUUUUGGAAUUCAGCAGUUCACUUGUUAUACAAUUUUUAAAAUUUAUUUGCAUGCAUUUCAUAAAUACCACAUUAGGAACAUAGCAACUCUUCCCAUAGUACCCGCCCUCCUACCCACUUUCCCCACCCCUCUACUUCUUCCCUCUCCUGUUCCUUGUCUUUUUUUUUUUUUAUUAAGAUCUAUUUUCAUUUAACUUUAUAUACAGAGGAUUAACUCUGUUCUAGGUAAAGAAUUCAAUUCUUUGUAUGAAAAAGAAAAAGAAAAGGAGAGAAAAAAAAAAAGAAAAAAGAACUAUUCUUCAACAGUCCAGAGAAGGGCUGUCCAAAGUUAUCAUAUCUUGAGGGUAAUUUUGAUUUUUUUUUCUUUCUUUCUUUCCUAUCCUCUCCCCCUCUUCUCCUUUCCUUCUCCCAUUAUUUCUUUUUAGAAACUUAAUUGUCUUUAAAGAAGAAUCCAAGAAUGGUACAUCUUUUGCAAGCACUACUGCCUUAAGUAGCACUCUGACCUCAGACUCAGCAUUUAAGCUACUCUGGUCUGGCUGAAAAGCCCAGGGUAGCAUUUCAGGAAUGGAAAGCCAAGACACCAUGGCAAAAAAUGUUCUACAUGAAGUACCUCUGUGGGUGAAUCCCCAGGGGAAAGAAGUGUCCACCAAAGAAGGAUGUACUUUUCUCUGAAGGGAGGUGAGAACUUCCAUUUUGCUAUGGUCUUGUCGAGUUAGUAGAUCCAAAAGGCUUCCAUAGCCAAGGCAGCUCAUGUCAAGAGCCUCAGGUGAUCAUUGAUGUGAUACAUAAGAGUGUUAAUUGUUAAAUAAACAACAAGAGUCACUGUACA